rnacentral:rRNA from 1 species
CCUACGGGGGGCAGCAGUGAGGAAUAUUGGUCAAUGGGCGGGAGCCUGAACCAGCCAAGUCGCGUGAGGGAAGACGGUCCUAUGGAUUGUAAACCUCUUUAGGCGGGGAGCAAUGCCGGGCACGCGUGCCCGGAGGGAGAGUACCCGCAGAAUAAGCUCCGGCUAACUACGUGCCAGCAGCCGCGGUAAUACGUAGGGAGCAAGCGUUAUCCGGAUUUAUUGGGUGUAAAGGGUGCGUAGACGGAGAAGCAAGUUAGUUGUGAAAUCCCUCGGCUUAACUGAGGAACUGCAACUAAAACUACUUCCCUUGAGUACUGGAGAGGAAAGUGGAAUUCCUAGUGUAGCGGUGAAAUGCGUAGAUAUUAGGAGGAACACCAGUGGCGAAGGCGACUUUCUGGACAGUAACUGACGUUGAGGCACGAAAGUGUGGGGAGCAAACAGGAUUAGAUACCCUUGUAGUC